GUAAUCGCGAAUCAGAAUGUCGCGGUGAAUACGUUCCCGGGUCUUGUACACACCGCCCGUCACACCAUGGGAGUCAGUAACGCCCGAAGUCAGUGACCCAACCGGAACCGGAGGGAGCUGUCCGAAGGUGGGACCGAUAACUGGGGGUGAAGUCGUAACAAGGUAAC
rnacentral:rRNA from 1 species